rnacentral:rRNA from 1 species
GAUGAACGCUGGCGGCGUGCCUAAUACAUGCAAGUCGAGCGAACGGACGAGAAGCUUGCUUCUCUGAUGUUAGCGGCGGACGGGUGAGUAACACGUGGAUAACCUACCUAUAAGACUGGGAUAACUUCGGGAAACCGGAGCUAAUACCGGAUAAUAUUUUGAACCGCAUGGUUCAAAAGUGAAAGACGGUCUUGCUGUCACUUAUAGAUGGAUCCGCGCUGCAUUAGCUAGUUGGUAAGGUAACGGCUUACCAAGGCAACGAUGCAUAGCCGACCUGAGAGGGUGAUCGGCCACACUGGAACUGAGACACGGUCCAGACUCCUACGGGAGGCAGCAGUAGGGAAUCUUCCGCAAAGGGCGAAAGCCUGACGGAGCAACGCCGCGUGAGUGAUGAAGGUCUUCGGAUCGUAAAACUCUGUUAUUUGGGAAGAACAUAUGUGUAAGUAAAUCUGCACAUCUUGACGGUACCUAAUCAGAAAGCAACGGCUAACUACGUG